GGAUAUGAGGGUGAUCUGGCUGUGACAUCUGUCACCCUAUUGCUCACUAGCGUUGAUUCAGCUGACCCGGCAGGCUAGGUGGGGCUCCCUUCCCUCCCUCAUUGCUCCAGGUGCAGCCCUUCCCAAGCUGCACACUCAAAGAGAACAAAUAUCCCGGAGGAGGACGUUCUUAGGUCAAGAGUAUACGAGUAGCUUCAUUCCCUUGCUAGAACCUCCAAACAAAUUCUCGAUAAAUCACCCCAAAUAUCUAAUGGACAGACCUUACCCUCUUACCACUUAUCAGCUGAACUAGAAGUAACUAGUACCAGAGCUAU
rnacentral:snRNA from 1 species